rnacentral:rRNA from 1 species
UUGGAAAAAUUGAUCCUGGCUCAGAUUGAACGCUAGCGGGAUGCUUUACACAUGCAAGUCGAACGGCAGCGCGAGAGAGCUUGCUCUCUUGGCGGCGAGUGGCGGACGGGUGAGUAAUAUAUCGGAACGUGCCCAGUAGCGGGGGAUAACUACUCGAAAGAGUGGCUAAUACCGCAUACGCCCUACGGGGGAAAGGGGGGGAUCGCAAGACCUCUCACUAUUGGAGCGGCCGAUAUCGGAUUAGCUAGUUGGUGGGGUAAAGGCUCACCAAGGCAACGAUCCGUAGCUGGUUUGAGAGGACGACCAGCCACACUGGGACUGAGACACGGCCCAGACUCCCACGGGAGGCAGCAGUGGGGAAUUUUGGACAAUGGGGGAAACCCUGAUCCAGCCAUCCCGCGUGUAUGAUGAAGGCCUUCGGGUUGUAAAGUACUUUUGGCAGAGAAGAAAAGGUACCUCCUAAUACGAGGUACUGCUGACGGUAUCUGCAGA